GACGAACGUUUGCGGCGUGCCUAAUACAUGCAAGUAGAACGCUGAAGAGAGGAGCUUGCUCUUCUUGGAUGAGUUGCGAACGGGUGAGUAACGCGUAGGUAACCUGCCUUGUAGCGGGGGAUAACUAUUGGAAACGAUAGCUAAUACCGCAUAACAAUGGAUGACACAUGUCAUUUAUUUGAAAGGGGCAAUUGCUCCACUACAAGAUGGACCUGCGUUGUAUUAGCUAGUAGGUGAGGUAACGGCUCACCUAGGCGACGAUACAUAGCCGACCUGAGAGGGUGAUCGGCCACACUGGGACUGAGACACGGCCCAGACUCCUACGGGAGGCAGCAGUAGGGAAUCUUCGGCAAUGGGGGCAACCCUGACCGAGCAACGCCGCGUGAGUGAAGAAGGUUUUCGGAUCGUAAAGCUCUGUUGUAAGUCAAGAACGAGUGUGAGAGUGGAAAGUUCACACUGUGACGGUAGCUUACCAGAAAGGGACGGCUAACUACGUGCCAGCAGCCGCGGUAAUACGUAGGUCCCGAGCGUUGUCCGGAUUUAUUGGGCGUAAAGCGAGCGCAGGCGGUUUGAUAAGUCUGAAGUUAAAGGCUGUGGCUCAACCAUAGUUCGCUUUGGAAACUGUCAAACUUGAGUGCAGAAGGGGAGAGUGGAAUUCCAUGUGUAGCGGUGAAAUGCGUAGAUAUAUGGAGGAACACCGGUGGCGAAAGCGGCUCUCUGGUCUGUAACUGACGCUGAGGCUCGAAAGCGUGGGGAGCGAACAGGAUUAGAUACCCUGGUAGUCCACGCCGUAAACGAUGAGUGCUAGGUGUUGGAUCCUUUCCGGGAUUCAGUGCCGCAGCUAACGCAUUAAGCACUCCGCCUGGGGAGUACGACCGCAAGGUUGAGACUCAAAGGAAUUGACGGGGGCCCGCACAAGCGGUGGAGCAUGUGGUUUAAUUCGAAGCAACGCGAAGAACCUUACCAGGUCUUGACAUCCCGAUGCUAUUUCUAGAGAUAGAAAGUUACUUCGGUACAUCGGUGACAGGUGGUGCAUGGUUGUCGUCAGCUCGUGUCGUGAGAUGUUGGGUUAAGUCCCGCAACGAGCGCAACCCCUAUUGUUAGUUGCCAUCAUUCAGUUGGGCACUCUAGCGAGACUGCCGGUAAUAAACCGGAGGAAGGUGGGGAUGACGUUAAAUCAUCAUGCCCCUUAUGACCUGGGCUACACACGUGCUACAAUGGUUGGUACAACGAGUUGCGAGUCGGUGACGGCAAGCUAAUCUCUUAAAGCCAAUCUCAGUUCGGAUUGUAGGCUGCAACUCGCCUACAUGAAGUCGGAAUCGCUAGUAAUCGCGGAUCAGCACGCCGCGGUGAAUACGUUCCCGGGCCU
rnacentral:rRNA from 1 species